rnacentral:ncRNA from 2 species
CGCUUUUACUAGGGGUGCCCCGUGCUGAGAGACGAGCCAUCGUCAACCCUUACUACCCGAUCUAGGUCAUACUAGCGUGGGGAAGUGAAGCAAUUAUGUU